rnacentral:misc_RNA from 1 species
AAGUCGUAACAAGGUUUCCGUAGGUGAACCUGCGGAAGGAUCAUUAACACGUUAUUCCAACGUACCACCAACGCGCAUUGUUUUCAACUCUCUCCCGCCGACCUACAUGUAUCGGUUUUAAGUGUACAGAAAUUAUUGGAUGGGACAUAGCUUCGGCUAGUCGUUUCUGCACCGACAGUGCUCACGCACAACGAUAGAAGUAGGCCGCGGCUACCGCUGCGGUGCUGUAAAUCUCCGCCAAGAUUAUGAGCACCGUGGCAAUUUUACUCACAAUUUUCACUCACUUUUGCGAGUUUGACUUUUUAAUCUGUUGGGCUCUCUCUUCAUUGAGAGGCACAGCACGUUUGAUCUAAUUGAACGUUAAAAAAUACAACUCUUAGCAAUGGAUAUCUAGGUUCUC